rnacentral:rRNA from 1 species
GGGCAAGGCUGCUGCUGUUAAGCUCGUAGUUGGAUCAAGAGUCAGACAGUGCACGGUGGCCCUGUUGUCCAUAGUGGUUCCGAUCACUGUGGCGGCAGCGGAUCAACCCCGUGCGCCAAACUGUCCGCUCUAACAGGCCGAAGCGGUUCCCUGUGAGUAGGCUCCUUCAUUGGGGCUGAAAGCGCUUACGCAUUAACCAUAUGCAUACGGGACGUCGGCCAAUGUUACUGUGAACAAACCAGCGUGUCCAAAACAGGCUUUCGCCUGAAUGUUCGAGCAUGGAAUAACAAGGGAUCGAUUCUCUCGGUUCUUUUUGUUGGUUUUUAACCCGAGAAGGAGUAAUUCAGGCCACGGUGUCUGAGUUGGGUUUCCCUUCACCUCGGUGGAGGCCCCAAUUAGGCCGUGUCCUUACGGGAUAAAUAGGGACUGACGGGGUCGUACGUACUUCUACGUCAGAGGUGAAAUUCUUAGAUCGUAGGAAGACGAACUUCUGCGAAAGCAUUCGACAAGAAUGUCUUCAUUAAUCAAGAACGAGAGUGUGGGGAUCGAAGAUGAUCAGAUACCGUCGUAGUCCACUACUGUAAACAAUGCCGUCUCAGGAUUGAGAAGUGAACAGAAUGACUUUCACAGCACUAACCCCUGAAACGAGAAAUCAAAGAUUAUGGGUUCAGGGGGGAGUACAUUCGCAAGGCUGAAACUUAAAGGAAUUGACGGAAUGACACCACAAGGCGUGGAGUAUGCGGCUUAAUUUGACUCAACACGGGGAAUUUUACUAGGUCAGGACAAUGUAAGGAUUGACAGAUUGAGA